rnacentral:rRNA from 1 species
ACUGCCGGUGUUAAACCGGAGGAAGGUGGGGAUGACGUCAAGUCCUCAUGGCCUUAUGCCCAGGGCUACACACGUGCUACAAUGGGUGGUACAAAGAGCAGCGAACUCGCGAGAGCGCGCCAAUCUCAAAAAGCCAUCCUCAGUUCCGGAUUGGAGUCUGCAACUCGACUCCAUGAAGUUGGAAUCGCUAGUAAUCGCGGAUCAGCAUGCCGCGGUGAAUACGUUCCCGGGCCUU